GAUGAACGCUGGCGGUCUGCUUAACACAUGCAAGUCGAACGGAGNAGCAAUACUUAGUGGCGGACGGGUGAGUAACGCGUGAGAAUCUCCUUCAGGACGGAGACAAACAUUGGGAACGACUGCUUAACCCCCGAUGACCCGAAAGGGCAAAUAUUUAUACCUGAAGAAGAGCUCGCGUCCGAUUAGCUAGUUGGAGAGGUAAAAGCUCACCCAAGGCGACGAUCGGUAGCUGGUCUGAGAGGACGAUCAGCCACACUGGGACUGAGACACGGCCCAGAUCCUACGGGAGGCAGCAGUGGGGAAUUUUCCGCAAUGGGCGAAAGCCUGACGGAGCAAGACCGCGUGGGGGAAGAAGGCUCUUGGGUUGUAAACCCCUUUUCUCUGGGAAGAAAGUUGUGAAAGCAGCCUGACGGUACCAGAGGAAUCAGCAUCGGCUAACUCCGUGCCAGCAGCCGCGGUAAGACGGAGGAUGCAAGCGUUAUCCGGAAUGAUUGGGCGUAAAGCGUCCGCAGGUGGCAGUUCGAGUCUGCUGUCAAAGACCGGGGCUCAACCUCGGAAAGGCAGUGGAAACUGAACAGCUAGAGUAUGGUAGGGGCAAAGGGAAUUCCUGGUGUAGCGGUGAAAUGCGUAGAGAUCAGGAAGAACAUCGGUGGCGAAGGCGCUUUGCUGGACCAUAACUGACACUCAGGGACGAAAGCUAGGGGAGCGAAUGGGAUUAGA
rnacentral:rRNA from 1 species